rnacentral:rRNA from 1 species
GACGAACGCUGGCGGCGUGCCUAACACAUGCAAGUCGAGCGAUGAAACCCUUCGGGGUGGAUUAGCGGCGGACGGGUGAGUAACACGUGGGUAACCUGCCUCAAAGAGGGGGAUAGCCUCCCGAAAGGGAGAUUAAUACCGCAUAAUAUUAGUUUUUCGCAUGAAGAACUAAUUAAAGGAGUAAUCCGCUUUGAGAUGGACCCGCGGCGCAUUAGCUAGUUGGUGAGGUAAAGGCUCACCAAGGCGACGAUGCGUAGCCGACCUGAGAGGGUGAUCGGCCACAUUGGAACUGAGACACGGUCCAGACUCCUACGGGAGGCAGCAGUGGGGAAUAUUGCACAAUGGGCGAAAGCCUGAUGCAGCAACGCCGCGUGAGUGAUGAAGGCCUUCGGGUUGUAAAGCUCUGUCUUUUGGGACGAUAAUGACGGUACCAAAGGAGGAAGCCACGGCUAACUACGUGCCAGCAGCCGCGGUAACAC